rnacentral:rRNA from 1 species
AUUGAACGCUGGCGGCAGGCCUAACACAUGCAAGUCGAACGAGUGGCGGACGGGUGAGUAAUGUCUGGGAAACUGCCUGAUGGAGGGGGAUCACUACUGGAAACGGUAGCUAAUACCGCAUACUCUCAGAAGUGCCCAUAUGGGAUUAGCUAGUUGGUGGGGUAACGGCUCACCAAGGCCACGAUCCCUCGCUGGUCUGAGAGGAUGACCAGCCACACUGGGACUGAGACACGGUCCAGACUCCUACGGGAGGCAGCAGUGGGGAAUAUUGCACAAUGGGCGCAAGCCUGAUGCAGCCAUGCCGCGUGUAUGAAGAAGGCCUUCGGGUUGUAAAGUACUUUCAGCGGGGAGGCGUUACCCGCAGAAGAAGCACCGGCUAACUCCGUGCCAGCAGCCGCGGUAAUUC